CAUCUACGGAGAGUUUGAUCCUGGCUCAGGACGAACGCUGGCGGCGUGCUUAACACAUGCAAGUCGAACGCUGAACCCGCUUCGGUGGGGAAUGAGUGGCGAACGGGUGAGUAACACGUGGGCAACCUGCCCCCGGCUCUGGGAUAACUCCAAGAAAUUGGGGCUAAUACCGGAUGUGACCGCUGACCGCAUGGUCUGGUGGUGGAAAGGGUUUCCGGCUGGGGAUGGGCCCGCGGCCUAUCAGCUUGUUGGUGGGG
rnacentral:rRNA from 1 species